rnacentral:tRNA from 1 species
GCCGCGGUGGUGGAAUGGUAGACACGCCGGACUCAAAAUCCUGUGAGCUUAUGCUCGUACCGGUUCAAGUCCGGUCCGCGGUACCA